UGAAGGGGACAUGCCCCAUUCAGCUGCUGGACCCCUUCUAAACAGGCUCGUUCAUCUAGGUUCAGCCAAACAGUAUCCAUGGUGUGAGGUUGAGGGAUGCGAGGUCGGGAUGCAAGAGUCGGCUGUGAUCCUGUGACAGCAGAUCCGAUCGGUUUGGCAGGGGCCAGGGAGCGACUGCUGACAAGCUUGAUAGCAUUCCAAACCAGUGCUGGUGAGGCCAUGCUGGGGCGAUCAUGAUAACCUGCGCCUUGUCCCUCUUAAUUUUUGCUAGGACCUUGCUGAUGAGCGGAAUCGGAGGGAACGCAUACAUCAGGCUUCCUACCCAUGGCAGGAAGAAGGCGUCGGAGAGGGAGCUCUUGCCCAGACCCUGUGUAGAGCAAAACCUGGGGCACUGCCUGUUCUGCCUGGUGGUGAACAAAUCCACUUGGGGAGUUUCCCACCUCUGGAAGAUUAUGCCAGCAACAUCCAGGGGAUCCACAUACUUCGGGUCUGGAGGGUACUGAGGUGUGCCCCCACAGCCGAGGUCCGAGUGCUGAUGAAGGGAACUCCUUCCAGGAUUUUUCUGGGGUCGGUCCACCAUCACAGCGAGGUCUAGUCGAAGGAGCCUUGGACUCUCUGCAAUGAAUUCUGCUACCGCCACAGCACCUGUAGGGGAAGAAAGAUCUCCGAUGAUGAACCAUGAGAAUGGAAAAGAAAAAGAAACUGGCUCACAACAUGCUCCCCAUAAACAGGGAAAGGUUCUUAUUUGCGUACUUUAGACAAGGCUUAGUGAGAUGGGGCCCAUUUCUCUUUACAGAAUUUUGUCCAGAUUCUUGCUAUUGUAACAAACUGCUCUACAAAAAAUCGAAGUAUUACCUCAAUUUGUUUUCAAUAAAUUGAAAAUACAACAUCCUGGUCACCCAUAAAUAGAAGUCUGCAAGUAAGGGUGUUAGCACUGAUGCGCUGGCUGUAUUUCAAUUUUAUAAUGCCAUUUUCCCUUCCUACAUUCCAUCAAUUGCUACAGUUUGGAGAUGGUAUUUUUCACUUCCUAGCAUAAACCCAGGUGUUCUUUUAUGCAUUGUUAAGCAGAUGUUUUCUAAACCAAAAGUACCUGCAUUUCAGAGGGGACUCAAUUGUUUCCUGUAUAUGCAGUUUAUAUAGCAUGGGAUCCUUUAAGAUGAAAGAAACUAUAUAAAUCUAACAUAGCAACUGAUACUUUUCAGAUUCCCAUUGAAGUACAGUUUGGAAAACUCAUUUAUACAUACCAAUAAGUUAUUACACGGAUUCCAAAACAUCUAGAUGCUUCAUAAGCAAAUAAACUGUAGGCUCUUUGUGGAAGGAACCAUGUCUUGUAAGACUUUGAGAAGAGAUUACUCACCCUGGGCAGUAACUGUGGUUCUUUGAGACGUAUCCCCCUGUGGGUGCUCCACUGUUGGUGAGCAUGUGCCCUUGAUCAGAGAUUUUCCUUAGUCACAUCCAUUUGGCCUGCACAUGAGCCACUGGUAUCUUCAUGCCCUGCACCAAGGCUACGUUAUGCUGUAUGAGUGAAUUGCCCCCUCAGUUCCUUCUGUACCACCAUUCUCAGAAGAAACUCCAAAGCAGAGAAAAAGAGGGCAGGUAGUGGAGCACUUAUAGGGACACACAUCUCAAAGAACCACAGUUACUGCACGGGGUGAGUAAUCACUUCUCUUCGAGUAGCGUCCUUAUGGGUGCUCCAGUCUUGGUGACUUCCAAGCAGUAUUCCCAGUAGAAGGGGGCUUCAGAAUGGAGUCCAUCACAGACGAGAGAUCUGCAUUGCCAAUUGCAGCAUCAGACCUGGAGGCAUGCACCAAGGCACAGUGUCUAAAGAAAGUAUGUACCGAAGACCAUGUAACGGCUCUGCAGAUUUCUGGAAUGGGAACAUUUUUAAGGAGAGCUAUAGAUAUAGAUUGUGAUCUGGCUGAGUAUGUCAAAAUGCUGGUAGGGGGUGGAAUGUCGACAGCCUGGCAGCAAGCUAUGAAACACUUGGAAAUACGUUCCAAGAGUCUCUGGGUAGAAAUGGUGGAACCCUCAGAUGUGUCUGCAAUCAAAAGAAAGAGUCUAUUGGAUUUUUACAGAAUGAUUUAGUUCUAUCCAGACAGAAGGAUAACG